rnacentral:pre_miRNA from 1 species
UACACCUUCACAUACUUCUUUGCAUGGCCAUAUUGAAUACACUUUUAUGGAAUGUAAAGAAGUGUGUAAAGCUGGA